rnacentral:rRNA from 1 species
AGAGUUUGAUCCUGGCUCAGAUUGAACGCUGGCGGCAUGCCUUACACAUGCAAGUCGAACGGUAACAGGUCUUCGGAUGCUGACGAGUGGCGAACGGGUGAGUAAUACAUCGGAACGUGCCCGAUCGUGGGGGAUAACGAGGCGAAAGCUUUGCUAAUACCGCAUACGAUCUACGGAUGAAAGUGGGGGAUCUUCGGACCUCGCGCGGACGGAGCGGCCGAUGGCAGAUUAGGUAGUUGGUGGGAUAAAAGCUUACCAAGCCGACGAUCUGUAGCUGGUCUGAGAGGAUGAUCAGCCACACUGGGACUGAGACACGGCCCAGACUCCUACGGGAGGCAGCAGUGGGGAAUUUUGGACAAUGGGCGAAAGCCUGAUCCAGCCAUGCCGCGUGCAGGAUGAAGGCCUUCGGGUUGUAAACUGCUUUUGUACGGAACGAAAAGCCUCUUUCU